UUCCCCUUCUCACUCCGCCAUACGUUGACGUCCAUAUUAAAAUGACAGUUAUACGUGCCAAAUAAGGGGAAGAUUAA
rnacentral:snoRNA from 1 species